rnacentral:rRNA from 1 species
AUACGGAGGGUGCAAGCGUUAUCCGGAUUUAUUGGGUUUAAAGGGUGCGCAGGCGGACCUGUCAGUCAGUGGUGAAAUCCCGGGGCUCAACCCCGGAACUGCCAUUGAUACUACAGGUCUUGAAUACGGUUGAAGUAGGCGGAAUGUAGCAUGUAGCGGUGAAAUGCAUAGAUAUGCUACAGAACACCGAUCGCGAAGGCAGCUUACUAAGCCGAUAUUGACGCUCAGGCACGAAAGCGUGGGGAGCAAACAGGAUGAGAAACCCUAGUAGUCCC